GGCUUUUAGCCUUAGUGGCGGACGGGUGAGUAACACGUGAGAAUCUGCCCUUAGGAGGAGGAUAACAGCUGGAAACGGUUGCUAAUACUCCAUAUGCCGAGAGGUGAAAGGAUUUAUCCACCUAAGGAGGAGCUCGCGUCUGAUUAGCUAGUUGGUAGGGUAAUGGCCUACCAAGGCGACGAUCAGUAGCUGGUUUGAGAGGAUGAUCAGCCACACUGGGACUGAGACACGGCCCAGACUCCUACGGGAGGCAGCAGUAGGGAAUUUUCCGCAAUGGGCGAAAGCCUGACGGAGCAAUACCGCGUGAGGGAUGACGGCCUGUGGGUUGUAAACCUCUUUUCUCAAGGAAGAAGUUCUGACGGUACUUGAGGAAUAAGCAUCGGCUAACUCUGUGCCAGCAGCCGCGGUAAUACAGAGGAUGCAAGCGUUAUCCGGAAUCACUGGGCAUAAAGCGUCUGUAGGUGGUUUGGUAAGUCUGCUGUUAAAGACUGGGGCUCAACCC
rnacentral:rRNA from 1 species